rnacentral:rRNA from 1 species
UACGAAGGGUGCAAGCGUUACUCGGAAUUACUGGGCGUAAAGGGUGCGUAGGUGGUCGUUUAAGUCCGUUGUGAAAUCCCUGGGCUCAACCUGGGAAUGGCAGUGGAUACUGGACGGCUAGAAUGCGGUAGAGGGUAGUGGAAUUCCCGGUGUAGCAGUGAAAUGCGUAGAUAUCGGGAGGAACACCUGUGGCGAAGGCGGCUUUCUGGGCCUUACCUGACGCUGAGACGCGAAAGCGUGGGGAGCGAACAGG